GGGCCCCUGGGGGGGCAGUCAGCCGCCGCCAAGGCCGGGCCGCUGGCGGUCCCCUGCCUGCCGCUGUCCGCUGCCGGCCUCAGUCCCGCUCUAGUCCGCCAGGCGGAGCUCCGCGGGGAGCCCCAGUUCGUUAACAUGUUGGGCGUCUCAUUCCGGGACCCUUCCCUGCUGCUGGCCCUUGGGGUCAUUGGGGUUACAGUGCUUGUGUUUGCCCUGAAGAACAUGAACUCCAGGAAGAGAGAUCCUAUCACCUUACAGGACCCUGAUGCCAAGUACCCAUUGCCUUUGAUUGAGAAAGAGAAAAUCAACCACAACACCCGCCGGUUCCGCUUUGGAUUGCCCUCUCCAGAGCAUGUCUUAGGGCUUCCUGUAGGUAACUAUGUCCAUCUCAUGGCCAGAAUUGAUAAUGAUUUCGUGAUCAGGGCAUACACACCUGUCUCAAGUGAUGAUGACAAAGGCUUUGUGGACUUAAUUAUAAAGAUCUACUUCAAAAAUGUACACCCUCAUUAUCCUGAAGGGGGGAAGAUGACUCAGUAUUUGGAGAAAAUGAAAAUUGGGGACACUAUCCUUUUUCGAGGACCAACGGGGCGCCUAUUUUACCAAGGGCAAGGAAACCUUGCAAUCAGACAGUACAAAACGAGCAUGCCUGAGAAAAAACUGGUCUGUCACUUGGGAAUGAUUGCUGGGGGCACAGGCAUUACGCCCAUGCUGCAGCUCAUUCGCCACAUCACCAAGAACCCCAUGGACAAGACCAGGAUGUCCCUCAUCUUUGCCAACCAGACAGAGGAGGAUAUCUUGAUGAGAAAGGAGCUGGAAGAAAUUGCCAAGACUCACCUAAACCAGUUCAAACUGUGGUACACCCUGGACAGGCCUCCCCUUGGCUGGAAGUACAGCUCAGGCUUUGUGACUGCUGACAUGAUCAAGCAGCACCUCCCACCUCCUGGGAAAACCACACUCAUCCUGGUUUGUGGCCCACCAGCCUUGAUCCAGACAGCGGCUCAUCCCAACCUGGAGAAGCUGGGUUAUACCAAGGAUAUGAUUUUCACCUACUAGUAUCUCCUGUACUCCUAGAAAAUUUCCUGGGACCCUUUCCUCUAUUUCAGAGAUAUUUCAAGUGUCCUGGCUCAGGGCUCCCUGCAUAGCUAUUAUCCUGCCCUCACCUCAUCAGCUGGGCGCCGAUGCAGGCAGUGGGGGUUGAACUUGUUGACAUGCAGCACAUGAAUGGCACAUUUGAUGCUGAGAUGAUGUAGCUGGCUGGUGACUUUUAAGAAGAGUAAAUCAUUCUGGAAAAGAAAAGUUUUUAUGAGCCAGUUUCCAAAAUGACAAGACUCUAGUGGUCCUUCCUGGUCUGGCCAAACAGACAAGACUUCCACAUUUCAGGAAGGUGCAUUAUGGACAUACCAACAGUUUCUCUUAUCACAAUGGUUUGUACUCUGCUACUGGGGAUAUCUUAUGUAACAAUCAAUACUAUUUCAAGGACUUCAGAAUAAGAUGGAAUCAGGCUUAAAAUAACAAUCAUGGGCAUAUCUGAGCCAUAUGCUCACAGAUACAACUGAAAUAUUUAAAGGAAAAGUCCUUACCACAGUUAGGUAUUGCAGCAUUCGUCCAUCAACUCUGGACUCAUGAAACUGGUCUUUAUAUUGCGGUAAGCCAAUAUCAUCAAGCCACCCUAUAAAUACAGAAAAAAAAAUAGUUGUGUUGGGAUUCCUGAGAAUAGGAGCAACAAUUAUCAUUUUGAGGUUCCAGUUUUUUUUCAGAAGAUUUAGUAAUCCAUCUGCCUUUCACAAGGACACAGCUGUCUUUGAGGCACAAAUUCAACAUGGAAAUUCUUUUUACCCUUAGGAACAGUCAGAUACAUACUUAAUACAUAUAUGCCUGUCCUUACGUGUCACCCAAAUGUGAUCCAGCAGCGCAGACUUCUCUUCCUGCUUGGUGUUGAUGGCUUUCACUGCUAAAACAAGUUUCUUUCUAUGAAGAGGGUGCUUAAUUCCUAGUUCCUGAAAUUGCAAGAUGAAGACCAGAUGUAAAAUUUUGGCAGACAAUUUGAUCUCCAGAGGAUGUUGUGUCAGGGUGGAGAUGCUCUAAGAGUAUGGCAGGGGAUCUGUGCACAAGACCCUGGGAUGUCAACCUGCAGUUACUAAGGAAAUCCCAGCUUCCUGCCCAUCUUCCUGUGUGUAUAUGGAGUGGGGGCCUUCACCUUCCCAUGAAUUGGUCUGGGGAGAAAUAACAGCCUCCUCUCCCUGGGCUCAGCUCUUACCUUUUCCAUGUCCUGAGGGGUAGCUGUCAGUAAAGUGUGGCCAGAUGUCACCCAUUGCCUGGCAAAGAUCACAUACUGAGCCAGGCCGAAGUCCUCAAGCCAUGAACAUACACGCUCUGUGCUCCACUGGGCAAAGGGGGCAUUGGCAUCACUGGGAAGCAGAGAAACAGUGUACUUUUGUAAGUUGAAAGUCUGAGGUUCUGCGUAUAAUAAAGCCUCAUCAAAAAGGAACUACCUUUUAACAAACAACCCAACCAUGGGCUAUAGCUGAAGGAAAUUCCACAACACACUCACAUGAGGUACAUUCAAGUCCCUUCCAUAACAAAUGAGUUUCAAAUCCAGCUACUUAGAGACAGCUGACAUAAUCCUUAAGAGACUGCAGUCAAUAGGUCCACAUAUACCUCAACAUGUCACAAUCCCAGAGCAUGGCCCUAUUAGGAAAAACACCUACAACUAACUCAUUUUGUCCACAAGAUUCAACACUCUUUUUAAGGAAAACACUUAGAAAGUUGGAAAAAGACAAUUGGUUCUCUAACAUUAAAAAAAAAAAUCAACAGCCCUCCAAUUAACAAUAGCUAAUAUUAAUAAAAUACUAGGGACUUUCAUAUUAAAAAUCAA